AGUUGCAUUACAGGGCAAAUCUUCACUGGCAGGCAGCCACUUUGGCUUACCAUCACCUUUCAUGCUUAUUUAUUUUUUUUUUUUAUUGUGCUCUCUGCCAAUGGAGAUUUGCCCAGCAAUUCCACU
rnacentral:pre_miRNA from 1 species